GUCUCUUUCAGGAGACUGCUCCUCUGGGAGUUUUCUUUUCUGCAAGCCUACAACGCAGUGCUGCUUCUGGUGCAAAUUUCUUCCACGUACAGCCCUCCCAAAGUGAAGAAUAGCUUCUGGGUAUAGGGGAGUGCGUUUCCUUCCUUGUUUUACAACAUGAUAAAGCAGAAUGUCCUCACUUCAGCAGAUAAUCCAAAAUGUUCAAAGCUCCUGGUCUCUAAUGUUAGAAUUUGGAAAAAGCCAUGCAGCUAAAUAGCAAUGAAAGUGAAGGAGCUCUUCCAGUACAUCGGAAAGACCAGAAAAGCAAUUCUGUAUGUUUUUGCCUCCUAAUUUUGAUACAAACUGGGAGUAACUGCACUUAUUUCAGGCUCACACAGCAUCAUAUCCUCCUUCUGUUUGGUUAUUAGACAUAAACUUGUCUGUUUUUAUCAAUUUAGUAAUACAUCCUCAUACGUGACACUAAGACUUGUCUGAAUCGCUGGUUUUGAAUCCUUCUUUCAUGUUUAAAAUAUUACCAUUUUGCUACAUUUAUUCAUCUGGGUUUAAGUUUUGGUUACUUCAACUUUUUAUGUUCAUUUUAACUUAGAGAAAAUCAAUUGAUAAAACAUUGCAUUUGUUUACACAUUUUCAAAUUAAUAUGUUAUGUAAAGUAAUAAUGUCAGAUUGAAUCCUGUAAUAUUUAGAUAUGAAAAUGGCCCCGAUUUUUUUUUUUUUUUUGCAUGCUUUACCUCACCAAAACUACUGAUGUAAACAAAAGGCAUCAAGUAUGAAUUUUGAAUUAGAAAACUG
ensembl:lncRNA